rnacentral:rRNA from 1 species
CAUCGCAUCCUGGGGCUGAAGCAGGUCCCAAGGGUUGGGCUGUUCGCCCAUUAAAGCGGUACGCGAGCUGGGUUUAGAACGUCGUGAGACAGUUCGGUCCCUAUCCUCUGCAGCCGGAAGAGAUUUGACGAAAGCUGUCCCUAGUACGAGAGGACCGGGAUGGACGUAGCUCUCGUGUGCCAGUUGUUCCGCCAGGAGCAUGGCUGGUUAGCGACCUACGGUAGGGAUAACCGCUGAAAGCAUCUAAGCGGGAAGCCUGUUCGAAGAUGAGAUCUCUCACCGGGUUAACCGGGUAAGGCCCGUGGAAGACCACCACGUUGAUAGGCCGGAAGUGUAAGCACAGCAAUGUGUUCAGCUGACCGGUACUAAUCGGCCGAGGGCUUGGUUUCACCAUUC